AUCAUACAAGGACAAUUUCUCU
rnacentral:miRNA from 1 species